AAUGCAGAAAAACGAAAAAACUCUCUCCGACAUGUAAGUGCAGAAUCCUUUUAUAUAGGUUUAGAAUGGUAUUGAAAUUUGGAUUUAAUUGCAAUCCAAAUUCACUUCAAAUUACCUUGGAAUUAGGAGUUAUUUGGAAAUGCAUUAGCUGUCAAAGCUUUUUUGUUAUUAGUCUGUUAGUUUGUUAGAGUUAGUUAUAGGUUAGUUAUCCAUCUGUUAAAAUGUUAGUUAAUUAGUUAGUUAAGUCAGAAAAUUGGUUUUCAUUCUGUUAGAUUAAUUUGAAAUUACUCUGGUUAAAAAACCUGUUAUUAAUUGAGUUUCUAACAUGUUGUUAAGCUGAACGACUCACUACCCUUUAAGUUAUGUUAUGUUAGUUUUUCAAAUCCAAAAUACUGUUAGGUCCUGCUUUUUCUGUUAGAAGUUAUGCCCUGCUAUUGUUAAAAUGGUUCAAGUCAGUUAGAAGCAAUGAGUUUAUUGUUAGUGUUUAGUGGUCAAAACAUUAAUUAGUAUUGAAUUAACUUUACUAGUUGCACUUGAUUAGUCGGUGGUUAUGACUACUAUUCUGAACUAAUGACAGUUGAAAUGAGAGCGAUUAAAUUAAAGUUAGUAUUUUGAACUUGUGUGCUAAUUAUUGGUUAUUGAUAUGGAUGUUGAACAUCUUUAAUGUUUAAAUUAAAUUAUUAAUGAUUUGAAUUAUGGCUAUCCAAAAUCGAAAUCUUGUCGAUGAUGUUUAACUUGGAAACUAAAUGGUGGAAAUAUGUUAUCCAUGGGUUGCUAUGCUAAUAAGGUUUCUUAUGAGGAAAGUUUGUUAUUUGUUAGAUUUUUUGUUAUUUAUAUUAGGGAUUCAUUUAAUAUUAGUUAGUGAAUCAGGGGUGACUGGUUGUUAUUAUGUGAUGGCCCGAGGGUACAAACCUGCUGAACAGGUUUCAUUUGAUUGCAGGUUAAGUUCAGCUACAUGCAGGUCGUGGUAUGGAUAGCUUGGUGUGAUGAAUGGAAAAUUUGGCAUGUUAUUUGAUUUGUCAUGAGUGUUGUACAUGUGUGAUGCAAGGUGUUGGUGGUUUGAUGCAAGUAUGGACUGCAGAGCAAGGCAGGGCUUUACAAUUUGCAGUUUUUUUUGGUAAGUUUGCAUGUAUACUUAGAUGUGUAGAGAGCUGCAUUGCUUGAAUGUUCAUUACCAUGUUAUAUGCUAGGAUGUUGUGAGCAAUGCAGGUUUUUGAUGUGUGGCGUUGCUUGUAGUUUGGAUGCAAGUAGUUAUUGCUGUUAAGCCAUAUUUGAUUGUUAACUACUUGCCAAUUUGUUUUGCCACUUUAGUUUGGGAUGGCUUGCUGCUAAGAUGUCGAUUUUGUUGUCGUGUCCUACUGUUAGGGUUGCGGUCUACGACAUGGAAGGUUGUUUAGAUAUCAUUGGUGGAAAGCACCGAGAGAAAGUCAUGUUGUAAUGUAGAAGAUUGAAGUGUAAAUCGAGUUGAAAUUGUAUUGAAUUAUUAUAUGAAUUGAAAGGUUCGUUUUAUGAAUAAAGAAAUAUUAGGUGUUAAUUUAAAUGUUGAAACACAUGAAUUAGAAUGAGUUAAAAGUCAUAUUGGAAUGUAAAUUGAAAGAUGGCUUUCCUGUCAAUGCGAGCUCAUGUGUACAAAAAGGUUGAUGAUUGGAAUAGAUACUUGAACCAUAGAUGAUAGAUAUGGACACUGGAUCAUCUAAAAUAACCCAAAACUAAACCAAAGAUCAACUUAAAAAUUAAAAUCAAUUAAAAUCCAAUUAAAAUUAGAAUCAAAUUGAUUUAAAAUUGG
rnacentral:lncRNA from 1 species